rnacentral:lncRNA from 1 species
CGGCUCUGUCAGGCUCGACAUCCUCAAGGUAACGCUCCAAAUCCCCCAACCCCACGCUCCAAAUCAUUCUCAUUUUUGCACACGGGAAAUAUUCAGGGAAGGCACUUUAGAUGCAAAAUACUGAGAUGCUUUCUGCUUGAAAACUAUAGUCAAAAGUUGAUUCACAAAAGUUCAGAAGUUCAGUCCAGAUGCCAAGGCAUGCUUAGCAUCUCAUAGUCAGAGGCUAUCCCGUCUCAACAUUGCACCUAUGCAGGUUUUCAAUUUAGGAGAUGAUUUGCACCUAUCCAUUUACUCUAAUGUAUUACAUACUAAUCCUUUUGGAGGCAAUAACGGAAGAAAAAUCUGUUGAUGUCUCCACGAGUCAAGUUAUAUAGCCGUUUCUGACUUGAAGGAAUAUUUGUGGGAUUUCAAUCAUUAGGAAGUUAGAGGGCAUCUGCAGCUUGGCAAAGUAGAUGUUGUUGACAUCAAUUAUUAAUUGUUAUUUUAUAAUGUUCCAUCAUUUUGUUUUUACACUUUUUUGCAGGCACUAGCAAUGUUUUACCAUUGACAGAGCAUUGUGAAUAUGGUAACAGACUACUUGGGUGUUCUGAAAUCGAAUUCUGUAUAUAAUAUAAGUAUAUUCCAUGACAUGUGCUGCUGCUUCCGAUUAGAUACAAUAGCUUCUCUCUUUUUUAUCGUACAGCUGAGAUCUUCAUUACAUUACAACCUUAUGUUUUGCUUUUUUUAAUUGAAAUUGGUGUUCUCUCUCUAGGUUAAUGGAUCAUCCUGGGAAUGGACUAUGGAAUGGCAAACUAACAGGGCACAUCGCACAACUGGUAUAAAUGUGUCAAUAUGUUGCAUUUCAAGGCAGUUUCACUCGUAAAUACUACUCCAUCCGUCCAAAAUAAGUGCUCAACUUUGUACUAACCUUAGUAUAAAAUUGUACUAGAGUUAAGACACUUAUUUUUGGGAUGGAGGGACUGCANNNNNNNNNNGAGGAUGUAGAAGUGAAAUUUACUAAAAAUUUAACCUACGUUUUCCUUGAGAAGGUUUAUAAAAUUAUAAGACAUAAUUUGAUGAAAGAGAUAUCUCUACUUCUUGGUGUUGCAUCAAGGCCUUGAUAUUGGACUAGAAUGCUUAUGUUUUAUAAAAAAGACAAACCUCGUGCAUUUGUUUUGAUUGCAACAUCUUUUGUAGUCAUCAAUAGUAAUACGUCAAGUACUGUUUGAUCAUUUUUAGGGUAUUGUCAAUCUACUUACAGACCACUUGCGUUGGGCAAGAGGGUUCUGCUGCGGAGACCAAGAAAAAGGAUGGGAACAUUGGGGACGCCUCAGCUGCCAUCGAGGAACACAACUCGGAACAGGAAAGCUCCACGCGAGGCUCCCCUGGCUGCCGAGCAUCUCUGAGAAGCCCAAAAUGAUAUGAGAUGAUGUCAUGGUGAUCGAUAGUGCCACGCAG